CUCUCUUGUAUACUUUACGUCCGUAAGAUCUCAUAUUCAACGACUUGUUUGCACUCAGAUCCAGCGAACGGAAUUCGUCUUCUCCUAAUAAAUUUUAACAGAAAGCCGAUUACAGCACAUGCCAUUCACGUCCAGCAGACUAAAUUACAAGUUUCAUCGCCAUCUAUGUUUCACAUUUAAAACUGAUAGUCUUCGCUACGCAAGACCACCGCCAUUUUUGUCGAGCACUGAUUGAAAGCGUUAGAUAAUCCGUGCGGCGUAUUUUCUUUCCUGAUCAUUUUCUAAUUUUCUUCCAAAAAUGCUGAUCAUGUGGCCUACAUUUUGCCAAGAUGUCGUCUCUUUUUCCUGUACGUACCGGCUGUACGUUUUGUAAGAAACACUUCAGAACAAAUCAGUCUGGUAAAGUUUGAGCUUCGUUGUUGCUGCCCAAUGUACAUAUGGAUUUGAUGCAGCCAGCUGAUAAAGGGUGUUCCUCUUGCUACCUGUAGGCUACUCCACUACAGCUGUGUGUUUUGUCAAAUGGAGAAACAUUAGAAAUUGAAGUUUAUCCUGUAUUGUUCCCGUAGUUGCUGUCCGAUGUGGCACGUUGUUGCAGCCUAUGCUGGUGAAAGCUCUUAUUGCAUGAAGUUAAACUGGCUGUUCCUUGGUCCUGCCGUCAUGUUAUGGAAAUUGCAUAAUUACUUUGUUUAAUUGUCAUCGUGACUAUGUAGUUUACCGUUAAUAUGUUAAGAAGGAACAAAAAAGAAAUAUGGGGAGUUUUAUGUCAAACAAGUAAUAAACAUGUUUUCGGGAUUGGGAAAGGAAAGUGGAGGAGUUGGUGGGGGGGGGGGGAUAUUUCAAGUUUGGAUAAAAAACAGUUAAUUUAUAACCCUACAAACAUAUCCCUACCAAUUAAUCUCCAAACCCCACAAACUUAUACCUUCCAAUUCUUCACACCCCACAAACAUAUACCUACCAACCCUCAAAUUUAUACCCUAAAGCAAUGUUAAACCUGAACGAUGUAAUAUCUAUAAUAAAUAGAAGCAAAUAUAUUAUUUGAACUAA
rnacentral:lncRNA from 1 species